rnacentral:tRNA from 1 species
GGGGUUAUGGCUCAGUGGUACAGUGCUUGCCUAGCACAUGUGAAGCAAGGGGUUCGAUCCUUAGCACCA